rnacentral:rRNA from 1 species
GACGCAGGGGGCUAGCGUUGUUCGGAAUUACUGGGCGUAAAGCGCGUGUAGGCGGUUGUCCAAGUUGGAUGUGAAAGCCUUGAGCUCAACUCAAGAAAUGCAUUCAGGACUGGAUGACUAGAGGACCGGAGAGGAUAGUGGAAUUCCCAGUGUAGUGGUGAAAUACGUAGAGAUUGGGAAGAACACCAGUGGCGAAGGCGGCUAUCUGGACGGUUUCUGACGCUAAGACGCGAAAGCGUGGGGAGCAAACAGG